rnacentral:rRNA from 9 species
GACGUUGAUAGGCUGGGUGUGUAAGCGUUGUGAGGCGUUGAGCUAACCAGUACUAAUUGCCCGUGAGGCUUGACCAUA